AGAGGUGCAUUUUCACUCUUUAUUAAAAAAGAAAGACUUUAACUUUUUCUUUUUGCCUUUUGAGGCCCUUAGUAGGUUGGAGACAUGCAGCCCACAUAGCGCACACCUGCCCCACCCAAUUUACAGACGGAACCUGAAGCCGGGUGAGCUGCAGUGACCCUCUGCUCCUAUGCCAGAUUACUGAAUAAAGGAGUUGUGGUAUACAUACACAAUGAAAUACUACUCAGCCAUAAAAAAGAAUGAAGUAAUUCCAUUUGCAGCAACAUGGAUGGACCUAGAUAUGAUCAUACUAAGUGAAAGUGCACCUUGAUUUGUCAGGACUCAGAAAGGCUUCAUUGGUUUGGAGCCAAUGAAGAAAAGUCUCUUCAUAGCAGCACCGGAAGGAAAGUUAAGGCUGCAAGAGUUUGGUGAGAGGAUUGGAGCAGGCUGGGAACCCACUGCAAAAACAGAGACCGGGGGAGCUCAUGCGGUUACAUGUGCCAUCUGAAAUCGCCGAGAUCUGCAGACCCCAAAGAGUGGAAAGAAUUAACUUCACCCUAAGCCCAAAUGUUAUUACUCCUACCCCAUUCCCCAGGCUUAAGCAUCCUGCAAUUGGAAGCAUCCUAAAUCAGGAUUAAAGGCAAGUGUGUGUGUGUGGCCAGGCUGGACCUGAGCCCCUAAACGGAAGCUGGAGAUCAUCACCUGUAUCAGGAGAGCAGCACCCCCACCACCCGCCGAUGGGGGGUGCUUUGUCAUCCCUCUGGCCCAUCUGGCCACCCACCUGCCCCUGUGUUUCAGGACAAGAGACAGGUGGCCCUGCUCUCUCCCAGAGCCGGCCUGCUCCGCGCCAGGAGACCUGUGAGACUCUGGGCACGUUAAUUUUCCAUAGCUGGACAAGCCCCCGUGGCACCCCGUCUGGGCAAGAGGAAGUCCCCUGUAAACUGCAGGAUGCUCCCUAACAUAAGGUCUAAGGUCUUGCUGCUGCAGUCCAAGCUUUUACCACCAACAGAUGGGGCCACGGUCCCCAAUAGAUGCAGCCUUCUUCAUUCUACUGUUUCCAGCAUCCAUUUGAGAGUCUGAUAUUUGCAAAAACAGAGUGCAUUGUUGGGUAUGGGUGAAAAAGGAGCGAGGGGGAGCAAGGUGAAAUUGACAGUAUCUUGUGGGCAGGGCUGACUUUUGUGAGUAAGACAGGGAAGGAAGCCAAGGGGCUGGGGAGACCCGAUGGGAGCAGCAGGGCUGAAGCGGUAAACAGGUCUCUGCGUUGUGGCCCCUCUCCUGGACCCUCGGGGUGGCUGUGGGAGACCCUUCUAUUGGGGAGGGAUGCUGCCCAUGGGGUGGGUGCUGGGAGCCAGUGGACCUGGCCCCUGGACAGCUUCAUUUGUAGGUGGGGAGGCCACUGGGUCGUGAUCAUCCAGGAGCUAGAACAGACUUCUGUGAGCUUAAGGCUGUGGGCAAAGACCUAGCAGCCUGGAGAGAUGGUCAAGGUUCAAGGUCUAUAUUAAUUACUUAAUUGGUAAAUUCCUAAAUGGGAGGUGAUUUAUUGUGGGGUUUUUUGGGGAAAGGGUAAUUACGUUUAUUUUUAAUGGAGGCACUGGGCAUUGAACCCAGGAGCCUCGUGCAUGCCAAGCACGCGCUCUGCCACUUGAGCUGUACCCUCUGUGCCGUACGUUCCAAAACGAUACUGUACUGUUAUCUCUGGGGGAUGGGGUUGCUGG